ensembl:lncRNA
GUAGGAGAACCCUGACUUUCCAGGAAUGGGACGGUCUCUGGGUGGGAUGGGGAGGGAAGAGGCAGUGCAGAGCCCAGGAUGAGUAGGCAUAGCCAGGCCCCACGGGAACAGCCUGUGCAAAGGCCCUGAGGUGGCACCGAAGGACAGAGAGAAGGUGGAGGCAAUGAGUAGCAGCUGCAUCUGAUGUGAGGUGCAGAUCAGAUGGCAGCUCUUUGCAGGAAGAAGGGGAUGAGAGCAGAAGCAGUGGGCAGAGCGGAGGAGGACAGCAGCUGCCUGUAGUGGCACGCAUCUGACCAAGAGGAAGCGAAGGGGUCAGGAGGUGGAAGCCCCAGGCCUUAGUGCUGAGACCUGGGGAGGGCCGGGUUUGGGAGGGAGGCCACCCAUUGAUUUGAGACAGGCUGAGUUUGGGGUGCGGUGGGGACGUGACCAUCUCAGGCAAGCCCUCCCUGGUCCCCACAGCCCAGCGCUCCUGGCUCCUUGUCCUCUGUGGAUCUGGACCCUCCUGCAGAAGGGCUGCCCCAGGCUCUCUCUGUCCCUGGGAUGUACUGUGUGCUGGGCAGGGCAGACCUCGGACCUGGACUCCGGUGCUGGCUCUGCCGCCUCAGGGCCGGCAGUGGACCUGGCCCCUCCCCAACCCCUCCUCCUCAGCCUCAGUGUCCCUAUCUGUGGGAGGGGCCGGCUGGCAGUGUCCACUGUAGGGUCUCCUCCAGCUUUAAGGCUGCAAUCUGUUCUGUGGGGAUGUCAGAGAUUCCGGGCAGGGGCCCCUUCGUGUGACCCGUGUGACUGGCCCCCCUGCAAGGCCAGUCUGUGCUGUGAGUGAGCGCACGCCUGGGAGCGAGAAUGCCCUCAGGAAGGACUCUCUCCCAGGCCUGUGUCCCCGCCCACCUCCUCCUACUCUUCCCCUCCAGAUGUGGGCACAGCUGUAUUUUUAGAACAGCCAGCCACGAGGAGGACAUUUUUCCCUUCCAUUAAGAUGGUUUCAAAUCUCCCAUCUGCAGUCAGCCGCAUGGCUCAGUCCUCAAACAGCAAAGGGUGGCCACAAGGAGCCGCCUCAGCUGGUUUGAGUUUUUUCUCUUUUCUUUGUUUCUUUUAAGUGAUUAAGUUGGGAAUGUGACCCAGAACUGGAGUGAAGGCCAGCUCUGAGGAGGAGGGCGAAGCGACAUUGCGUGGAGCCUGCAGGAGCUGCCCCACGGCCUUCACUCUGCACCCCGCCCCAGCUGGGGAUAUCCAGCUAGGCCACAGCCCCCCAUGUUUCCCCACCCAAGGGGGGAGUCUGUGUGGGGAUCAGAGACGGCCGGCGCCUGCCCUCAGGACACCCUGUGGUUGGGGUUGGGGGGAGUCAACAGAUACAAAUGCAAACAAGCAGCAAAUGGAAAUACUGGAACUUAACACAUUAUCCACAAUCAAAACUCCCCGCAUGGGCUCAGUAAGAGAAUGGAGAACACAGAGGGAGGAGUCGUGAACUUAGAGACAGAAAUGGGAGAGUCUGAAGAACGCAGAGGAGAAGGACUGAACAGGAGUUCACAGGGCGCGGAGACAUGUAGGAUGCUCAGAAGUCCUCAUUUCCUGCCACUGGAACUUACUUCACCUCUGACCGUCAUUUGUCCAUCUGUAGAUGGGGUGGCUGUCCCUUCCUCACCCAGAGUGUUGGGAACUACAUAAGAUAGUGG